rnacentral:lncRNA from 1 species
AAUUUUAUAUAAAUAUAGGAGGAAUAAACAGCAUUUGUAAGCUAAUAUUAUACACAACUUAAUAACUAGAAAAAAUAUCAGAAUGGUGGAGCAUGAAGCAAGCAACCUAUCAGAAGAAGACAAUCACCAAGUGUAUCUUACAAUUUUAUAUAAAUAUAGGAGGAAUAAACAGCAUUUGUAAGCUAAUAUUAUACACAACUUAAUAACUAGAAAAAAUAUCAGAAUGGUGGAGCAUGAAGCAAGCAACCUAUCAGAAGAAGACAAUCACCAAGUGUAUCUUACAAUUUUAUAUAAAUAUAGGAGGGAUAAACAGCAUUUGUAAGCUAAUAUUAUACACAACUUAAUAACUAGAAAAAAUAUCAGAAUGGUGGAGCAUGAAGCAAGCAACCUAUCAGAAGAAGACAAUCACCAAGUGUUUAUAUGUAAUUUAACCCAUAAAUAAACAGAUUUGCUGCAUAGUUCUUGCCAGCAGUCUUACAUCGUAUCCAAAAAAAGCACUAAUACUUCUUCAUUCUUAAUAUUAACAUGUUAUUCCCUCUCAAUUUUCUUCAUUUUGUUAUUUCCCAUUGUUCCUCUUAUUACUUAUUCAUCAUUGUUUUAUUUCUUGUUAUUACUCUUAUAAAUUAUAAACAUGUUUAAGAACAUAGUUCCGAUUACAUUGCCAAAUAUGCAUUCCGUUCAGUAAAAAAAAUUAUAUCGAGAUGCCCAAC